rnacentral:rRNA from 1 species
CCUACGGGUGGCAGCAGUCGAGAAUCAUUCACAAUGGGGGAAACCCUGAUGCUGCGACGCCGCGUGGGGGAAUGAAGGUCUUCGGUUUGUAAACGCCUGUCAUGUGGGAGCAAAUUAACAAGAUAGUACCACAAGAGGAAGAGACAGCUAACUCUGUGCCAGCAGCCGCGGUAAUACAGAGGUAUCAAGCGUUGUUCGGAAUCACUGGGUGUAAAGCGUGCGUAGGCGGUUUCGUAAGUCGUGUGUGAAAGGGGUGGGCUCAACCCGCGGACGGCACAUGAUACUGCGAGACUAGAGUAAUGGAGGGGGAACCGGAAUUCUCGGUGUAGCAGUGAAAUGCGUAGAUAUCGAGAGGAACACUCGUGGCGAAGGCGAGUUCCUGGACAUUAACUGACGCUGAGGCACGAAGGCCAGGGGAGCGAAAGGGAUUAGAUACCCUUGUAGUC